UGAAGCCCAGCUGGCCAGCAUUCACUUCCCAGUCAGAGCCUCAGCACAGAACUCACCACAAGACAGGAGAACAUCUGAUGAUGGAGACCUCACGCAGGGAUGUUCCUUCCUACCUUGCUCUCUCCAUUUUCAAUUUGCUUUGUUGCUGCUUUCCAGUUGGAGUUGCUGCUUUGGUUUAUUCCCUUCAGGUGCAGAAUGUCGCAAGCGUAGGAGACCUGGAUCAGGCAUACAAAUAUUCCCGCACUGCCCGUUUGCUGAAUAUUGCCGGGAUUGUCACUGGAGUAAUUGCUUUAAUCAUUGUGAUUGUGAUUUAUUUUGUUGUCCUAAAUAAACGCCAAUGAGAGGUGGUUACCCGCAUUCCCAGAGCAUGCUACUGCAGUGGCCCAUCUGGCAUAUUCUGACAUGAGCAACAAGAGCUACCCACCAGGAAGAAGACCACAUCAAAGUUACCUUGAAAAGAAGUCCUUGUGGCGGGGGGAGGUGCACACUCUUGUAUUAUUGCUUACCGGCUAAUACCUUUCCCUUGAAUACAAUGUCUGUACAUGCCACACUCCGUCUGCACAUGCCACACUUUUAAAUUCUCAUCUCGGAGAGACCAUAUUACUCCCGUAUUGAAGGAGCUACACUGGCUGCCAAUAUGGCCGAUAUGGGCAAAAUACAAGGUGUUGGUUAUAACCUAUCAGGCCCUAAACAGCUUGGGCCCUGGGUAUUUACGAGAACGUCUUCUUCAUCAUGAAUACCACCACCCAUUGAGAUCAUCAGGAGAGGUCUGUCUGCAGUUGCCACUGGCUACUCAGGGACAGGCCUUCUCCUUUGCUUCCCCAAGGCUUUGGAAUGUGCUUCCUAGUGAAAUAAGAGCCUCCCCAUCUCUGACAGCUUUUUAAAAGUCUUUAAAGACACAUCUGUUCACCCAGGCUUUUAAUUAAUAUUGUCUUAAUGUUUUUAAUGCUGUUUAAAAAUAUUAUUUAACAAUUUUAAAUUGUAAUAUUAUAAAUUUUUUAUUUUUGUUUUAACUAACGUUUUACUUUUUCUGUUAUUAUUUUGUUGUAAACUGCCCAGAGACGUAAGUUUUGGGGAGUAUAAAAAUAUGUUAAAUAAUAAUAAAUUAUCAGUGUAAUAAGCUUUAUGCUAAUAAAACCAAAAUGCUGUAUGUGGA